rnacentral:rRNA from 1 species
AGUGGCGGACGGGUGAGUAACGCGUGAGAACAUGCCCUUAGGUUCGGGACAACAGUUGGAAACGGCUGCUAAUACCGAAUGUGCCGAGAGGUGAAAGAUUGAUUGCCUAGGGAUUGGCUCGCGUCAGAUUAGCUAGUUGGUGGAGUAAUGGUUUACCAAGGCGACGAUCUGUAUUUGGUCUGAGAGGAUGACCAGACACACUGGGACUGAGACACGGCCCAGACUCCUACGGGAGGCAGCAGUGGGGAAUUUUCCGCAAUGGGCGAAAGCCUGACGGAGCAAUACCGCGUGAGGGAGGACGGCUUUUGGGUUGUNAACCUCUUUUAUCAGGGAAGAAACAAAUGACGGUACCUGAUGAAUCAGCAUCGGCUAACUCCGUGCCAGCAGCCGCGGUAAUACGGAGGAUGCAAGCGUUAUCCGGAAUUAUUGGGCGUAAAGCGUCCGUAGGUGGUUUUUCAAGUCUGCUGUCAAAGCGUGGAGCUCAACUCCAUAUCGGCAGUGGAAACUGGGAGACUAGAGUGCGAUAGGGGUAACGGGAAUUCCCAGUGUAGCGGUGAAAUGCGUAGAGAUUGGGAAGAACACCAGCGGCGAAAGCGCGUUACUGGGUCUGCACUGACACUGAGGGACGAAAGCUAGGGGAGCGAAAGGGAUUAGAUACCCCUGUAGUCCUAGCUGUAAACGAUGGAUACUAGGUGUGGUUCGUAUCGACCCGAGCCGUGCCGGAGCUAACGCGUUAAGUAUCCCGCCUGGGGAGUACGCACGCAAGUGUGAAACUCAAAGGAAUUGACGGGGGCCCGCACAAGCGGUGGAGUAUGUGGUUUAAUUCGAUGCAACGCGAAGAACCUUACCAAGGCUUGACAUGUCGCGAACCUUCCUGAAAGGGGAGGGUGCCUUCGGGAGCGCGAAC